CGCGUGGGCAACCUGCCAUAUACAGGGGGAUAACACUUAGAAAUAGGUGCUAAUACCGCAUAAGCGCACAGCUUCGCAUGAAGCGGUGUGAAAAACUCCGGUGGUAUAUGAUGGACCCGCGUCUGAUUAGGUAGUUGGUAAGGUAACGGCUUACCAAGCCGACGAUCAGUAGCCGGCCUGAGAGGGUGAACGGCCACAUUGGGACUGAGACACGGCCCAAACUCCUACGGGAGGCAGCAGUGGGGAAUAUUGCACAAUGGGGGAAACCCUGAUGCAGCGACGCCGCGUGAGUGAAGAAGUAUUUCGGUAUGUAAAGCUCUAUCAGCAGGGAAGAAAAUGACGGUACCUGACCAAGAAGCCCCGGCUAACUACGUG
rnacentral:rRNA from 1 species